AAAGCGUCAUUUGAAGUUUUGAACCAUUUUGAACUGACGCGCAGAGCAUAUGUAAAGAUAUUUCUCGGCUCUCCAGUGCUCUGUUUGGUCCACGUUAGUGAGAAAAACAAUUGGAUCAGACAAAUUGAUGAGAGAAUCGAUCCUUGGGGUGACGGAGUCUGUAAACUCCUAAAAUAAUAAAGUUCCUGGUAAGCAUUAAUCGGUAUUUAAUUGACAAAUAUACCAUGUGAAUUGCAGAUUUUGAUGCAAUAUAUAUUCCUUUAAUCAAUGUAUAGCAUCGCCAACCUUUGCCGAGAAGCAUUUGAAUCAGGCCAGGGAAUACUAUGACACUUCAAUGGU